ACGGGAGGCAGCAGUGGGGAAUAUUGGGCAAUGGGCGCAAGCCUGACCCAGCAACGCCGCGUGAGGGAAGAAGGUUUUCGGAUUGUAAACCUCUGUCCUUGGUGACGAAAAGAUGACGGUAGCCAAGGAGGAAGCCCCGGCUAAAUACGUGCCAGCAGCCGCGGUAAUACGUAUGGUGCAAGCGUUAUCCGGAUUUACUGGGUGUAAAGGGAGCGUAGACGGCAUGGCAAGCCAGAUGUGAAAGGCAGGGGCUCAACUCCUGGACUGCAUUUGGAACUGUCAAGCUAGAGUAUCGGAGAGGUAAGUGGAAUUCCUAGUGUAGCGGUGAAAUGCGUAGAUAUUAGGAGGAACACCAGUGGCGAAGGCGGCUUGCUGGACGAUAACUGACGUUGAGGCUCGAAAGCGUGGGGAGCAAACAGGAUUAGAUACCCUGGUA
rnacentral:rRNA from 1 species